GCCUGCUUAGCUCAAAGGUUAGAGCA
rnacentral:tRNA from 1 species